rnacentral:rRNA from 1 species
CGGGACGGGGUGGAGUAAUGUCUGGGAAACUGCCCGAUGGAGGGGGAUAACUACUGGAAACGGUAGCUAUACCGCAUAACGUCGCAAGACCAAAGAGGGGGACCUUCGGGCCUCUUGCCAUCGGAUGUGCCCAGAUGGGAUUAGCUAGUAGGUGGGGUAACGGCUCACCUAGGCGACGAUCCCUAGCUGGUCUGAGAGGAUGACCAGCCACACUGGAACUGAGACACGGUCCAG